rnacentral:lncRNA from 1 species
GAAGGUUCGGAUCCUUUGUGUCCAUCACCUCCGUGUGAGGGGAGCUCUAGGGGCUCCCCUGUGUACCUCCCAGAGCCCGUUCACAGGGGUAGCAUAGAAACACUCGCAUUUUACAUUGGGAACGGAAUGUUCGCGUUACCUACAAGCCCCAUUUAGUUAAAUCUCAAAAUGUCCUUUGUUUGGUAUCUCAAAAUGGUAGUUCCUGGUGGUAAACUUAGGCGCAGACCAGUGCUGCUUUAACCCGUGCGCUCACAGGAGGUGACAGCAGAGCCUUGGCACUGUCUGUCCCAGCUCCUGUGUGGCUGGCACAGCCGAGCAGCUCUGUGCAGCACGGUUCUGCCAUCAGUUUGUAGUUCUGAGUCCCCGUGCUCUGCAGUGAUCUGGUGUGAGGGGCAGCGGUGCUUGCCCAGGAGUCUGCACAGCCCAGCAAGGUGAGUUCCCAGCUGCGCUGGCCAGGGACAGUGACCACAGCCACCUCCAGCGCUGACAGCAAUGCAGUGGGAGUGGGGCCACACAGCUCUCUGAAAUGCUGACCCAAGGAAAGAGGUGCGGCGGGGCGGAGCCGGCCCGUGGGCGUCCCGCGGGCGACGGACUGCUGCUCAAGGUUCUGCGCCGGAGAUUUGCAACUACAGGCUGAGCACUUUCUCCAUGGCUCAGAGCACAGCUGUGCCGUGCUGUCAGCAGUGAGUCUGUCCACACAAGAGAGGAGCUACCCAGGUCAUUUAACUUCCAAACUGCAUUGGAGUCCUGAUCCAAUUUAGGGAAUGUUAGCCCGUGUCUGGUAGUGGGAUUGUGGCACAGGUGGAACAUGCCUGAUUAUACCUGAAUUACUUAGCAAGAAAUAAUGCUGCACUUGAUUCUAACCAAGAAUUUUAGAAAUAAGGACAGUUUUCAAAUUCUGCUUUUCACACCAAUUGAACAUUCAAUAAAGGCAAUUGCCCUUUAAAGUUUUUUUCA